rnacentral:tRNA from 1 species
GGCAUUAGCUCAGUUGGUAGAGCAGUUGACUUUUAAUCAAUUGGUCGCAGGUUCGAAUCCCGCAUGCCCC